rnacentral:ribozyme from 13 species
CAAGAAAUGGUAAAUAAACGAAAUAUCGAAACAAUUUGAUGGGGUCUUGCUUUCCCCAUUCCCCUUCUUUUUCGUCUUCUUGUUCUUCUUUUUCUU